ensembl:lncRNA
CUAUCUCGUCAAUCAGCUGCUCUUCCCAUCUUUUGUGUCAGAAUUGAUGAAUAAAAGUAAAAGGAACUGAUCUGAGCUUUGCAUUAUGUCAUCUUCAACUCUGCUUUGCCAAGAACCCAACCCUAAUCUCCUUGAGGGAAGAGACCGUGGCCAGCUCAUUUUUAUAAAUCCUCCAGUUCCUGAGCACAUUGCUAGACACCUAUUCUGAUACACAGAAUUCUGUUUAAAAAUCUAGUUAUUGUAAAGGAGCCAUUAAAGUCAUAGAAGUUACAACCUCUAGGAUCUAGAAAAAUUUUAAAUAUACAUAGGUAGGACAGAGAGGGGCAUGAAAAUUAUUUUUCUAACUUUCAUGAGCAAUGCAAAUAAAUGAUGAAUUUUUUUAACUUUCUGAGAUAGAAAAAAUUCUGGAAUAAUAAUGCUCAGAGACAGAAAUGCCUACAUACAUCCUAGAUAGAAAAUCUUAAACAGAAGAUAUAAACUGAUGGCAUAUAUGUGUGACUGAUCCCACACAUAUAUCAUGAAUAAGAUGAUUAGAUAUCCUUUAUUUCUCAUUUCUCUCCAAGUGUUCAUUUCUUUAUAAUUUCCAUUACUAUCUCUAUCUCAAAUUUCUGGACCCCUGACUCAUUUUCAGGAAGGCUUCAGUCCAUUCAUCUCUGUCAGAUGGUGAUUUCUGCCUCACCAUAAAUUCAAUCAGCAUUUAUUGAACGCCCAUUUCCUACUUUGCCCAUGUCCAUACUUUAAAGUUCUUCCAAGUUCAUCCAAAGACAAACCAACUUCACCUUAGGAGGGCAGCAGUGGGCCAUUAGCAGAAGACAUCUUCACAGGCUCCUGAAGCUUCUGGGGAAGGUUGCAUGGCACAGAGAAACUGGGCAAGGUUGAUGGGAGCUGUAAACAGAGUUAGGAAUCGAGCCACUGCAGCAAACCCUGGCAUUACUAAAUGCACUGUCUCAGGCAUCAAAAGAACAAUAGAUAUUUCCAACUAAACAUUGCCACUUGCCAUCUGGUUCUACAAGAAUGAAGUCAGCAGCCACUGCAGUCACUUGACCUUAAACACACACUGAAAGGAGUUCAGGGCAGAGAUCAGGAAUGAGGCACUCUGUGCUCUGGGAAAAACGGACAGAAUAGGUCUCAGAAAGGUGGAGGUUUUCAGGAGAUUUUUAUGAGCCCAAUUUCUUGCAUUUCCUCAUACCUAGAAAAGCACUAAAAUCAUUAACAGACACAUGUGCUCCUUGUGACCAAGAGCAGCCUUCUGCCAAAAUGUGUGCCUGAUUGCACAGAUCCCCUUUCACUAACCUCUCCGACCCCCAAGUUAUUCAUUUGUAAAACCGAGAUGGCAAAUGUCUAUUUCAGAGAGUUGUUGAGUAAUUCAAAUAAGAAAAUAGACUUCAAAAGUACUUCUCUAAAAUCAAAAGCAAUACAUAGAUGAUAACUACAUGAUCUGAUAUUAUUGAUAAUAAUCAGCUAGGUUUCCAUUAUCCUACACUUGUACAAUCUAUGAUGGGUUGUAUAUUUGUACUUUAAAUUUUUAUCCUGUUUAUUUUAGUCCCCUUUAGCCAAAACAUUUUAAAUAAUCUUGAAUUAAAUUCUAACCUAUACCUUUCUGGCUACAUUACUGAGCUAUGGUCAACUACAAGUUGAAUUUUAAAAACUUCUAUCUACCUCAUUGAUAGCAAUAAAAAGAACAAGGUUUAAACAUAUUCCAUUGAAUAAUUAUCAAAACAUUCAUACUAAUUAGUUAAUAAAUACUCUGAAUAUGACUUUCCAAGAAGCUCUCUGUUUCC